rnacentral:rRNA from 1 species
GAUGAACGCUGGCGGCGUGCUUAACACAUGCAAGUCGAACGAAGCACUUAAUGAGAUUUCUUCGGAUUGAUUAUUUUGUGACUGAGUGGCGGACGGGUGAGUAACGCGUGGGUAACCUGCCCUGUACACACGGAUAACAUACCGAAAGGUAUGCUAAUACGAGAUAAUAUGCUUUUAUCGCAUGGUAGAAGUAUCAAAGCUUUUGCGGUACAGGAUGGACCCGCGUCUGAUUAGCUAGUUGGUAAGGUAACGGCUUACCAAGGCGACGAUCAGUAGCCGACCUGAGAGGGUGAGUCGGCCACAUUGGAACUGAGACACGGUACC